GGAUGGUCUUCUGACUGCCUUUUCAUUUUCCCCCAAAGAUCAGCGAAUUUUCCUCCAUUUUUGGGUACAAACUGAAAGGAGUCUGGGUUUAUCUACCCUCUGAACAUAAGAAGCCAUCUCAGUUGCACGCAGAUUCAUGAAGGUGCUCAAAUAGUUACAGCUUCCUCUUGUCUCUUCCUCACUUUUGCUGGAAGAGAGCAGGCUGUACGAACUGACUUUCAGUUAUGCCCUGCAGAGGGAUCAAACUCAGGACCUUGCGCUUGGGAGGCAGACGGCAGCACCACUGAGCUAAAUCCCCAGCCCCUGCAGUAACUUUUUAAAAGUACUGGGAAUCAAACUAAAUUGUAAGUUUGUAAACAAG
rnacentral:lncRNA from 1 species